UACGGGGGGGGCAAGCGUUGUUCGGAAUUACUGGGCGUAAAGGGCUCGUAGGUGGCCAACUAAGUCAGACGUGAAAUCCCUCGGCUUAACCGGGGAACUGCGUCUGAUACUGGAUGGCUUGAGUUUGGGAGAGGGAUGCGGAAUUCCAGGUGUAGCGGUGAAAUGCGUAGAUAUCUGGAGGAACACCGGUGGCGAAGGUGGCAUCCUGGACCAAUACUGACGCUGAGGAGCGAAAGCCAGGGGAGCAAACGGG
rnacentral:rRNA from 1 species